rnacentral:lncRNA from 1 species
UGCCACAGGGCUCUUGGACUUUUAAAAUAUUUCUUCAUAUUUCAGUGUGCAGACUGGACCUGCCUUCAUGGGCUGUUGGUGCUUGUAACACGCAGCAGUAAGCAGCCUGAAGCAGGAAUGUCUGUCCGGUGGCUCACCCCCAAGAGAAAGGGCUGCUGGCCAAAUCUUCUGCCCACUGUCAUGCACUGGCAUCCCCUCACAGUCCCUCUGGACCACUUGAUGCUCUUGCAGAUGACCCUUGCAGUACCUCAUGGUGCUUCUGGCCUCCCACAUUCUUUGCCACCAGCACCAUGCACAGCCUCAGAUGCAGGAGGAACUGGAGCUCCAGUGUGCAUCAGAAUGCUGCUUCUCACAGUCAUGGUCUCAUCUUCUGCUUUACAACUGCUUGAGAACUGACUGUAUGCAAGCUAUUACUCAUAUGGCCAAAGAUAAGUAUGAAUGCAUGAAUAAUUUUUAGUAACACCCAAGAAAACUGAACUUUGAUCUCACAGUAGCUUCUCUGUAACAGUGCUAGCAGUAGACAUACACA